UGACGUGUCAUAGCGACUGUUCAAGUAACGCUGGGGUUUGCUUGCACCGCCAUCCAUGGCAGUAGGUGGGUCGAAACGAGCCCAUAUUCGCAAGAUGUGUGGAUAUAUACAAUGUGUAUCUCACUAUUCACACUUGCAGAGGUCUUGUUUUUUCGUUGAAAACAAUGGCAGAAAAAAAUCAGAGAACGGAAAGGAAUUGAGACUUCUCUUAUAAACAGGAUUGUGAUGAAUUUGACUUGUUGAGAUAUAUAUAUACAAUGUAUAUAUCUCACUGUUCCCACUGAUGGAAUACUUUUCCUGGUAUAAACUGUUGGCAGGGACAUAAAGAGUGAAAAAAGGGAAGGAAAAAUAAAGGUGUUCUGAUUAAUGGAUGUGAGAGUAUAUAUCCAAUUGAGAUCUAAGAAUAAUGUCUGUUUUAUCAAAUAUUUUCAUAUCAAUAGUAUGUUUUAUUGUGGACUAUGUUUCAUAUGCAGUAUUUAAGAUAAUUGCAGUGGUAGCAGUGGUACUGAUUCACAUGUUGAGGAUACCAGGCAUGAUCAUUCUGCAAGUUUUUAGAUGUGUAAUUCAGUUGAUACCCUUUAUUUUGGAGCAUAUUAUUAGGCAUGUCACAGAUUUGCUGUUUACAACAGUUUUUGGGUGUAUGGAGGUGAUUGAGAGUGCUUGCAGUGCUUUAGUAGGCUUUUUGGUGUCCAUGAUUUAUGACAUUUUGGGUCAUCUGUACACUGCCCUACAUGAUUUUGCAGACCUCUUUUCGGCAUUCCUGUGGAAUGUUAUCAAGAUGUUUGGUCUCUCUCUGUUGAGCAUAUGGAACAAUUUUGUGGAUGCAAUAGCUUAUUUUAUACAUAAUGUAUAAUCAAUUGAUUGUAAGAUAAAUUUGUUGAAAAGAGCCCAUAUUGAGCUCGGUAAGUAUAUAUGAAUUUGUACUGGGGGAUUUUUCCCAGAUUCCAAUUCUGGAGAUUGACAAUGUUGCAGCCAAAGAAAUCUAUGGAGACAAUGUUACACUACAGAAGAUAAAGGAGUAGGGAUAUACAAAUUCCACCCCAUUUGAUUGUUAAGAGGUUCCAGAGCUGGAGGAAUUCAAACAAUUCCAUGAAAAUCUGGUUGAAGCUGUUGGGCACCAAAUGGGAAUGGAGAAUUGCCCAACAGAAAUUGAAGAGGCAAAUCUUUUGUGUUUUGGAAGAUCCAAAUGGAUCUAGGAUAAUAUAAUACAGAUUAUUCAUUAGAUAGCUCCAAUAUAUUUGAUUCAUGACCUUCUCCAAUGAGGAAGUUUUAUUCAUUGCAAUUCUUAUGAACAUUGUAGGGUUUUAUGGCAUUGUGGAUUGUUGGUUACAAAUGUUCUAAUAGAUCUUGACUGGUUUUAAUAUUA